rnacentral:rRNA from 1 species
UCCUGGCUCAGAUUGAACGCUGGCGGCGUGCUAACACAUGCAAGUCGCGCGUGAAAGGACUUCGGUCCGAGUAAAGCGGCGCACGGGUGAGUAACGCGUGGAUGAUCUACCCAUGAGUUAGGAAUAACGGCUGGAAACGGUCGCUAAUACCAAAUACGCUCCGAUUUCAACUUCGGGGGAAAGGUGGCCUCUGCUUGCAAGCUACUGCUCAUGGAUGAGUCCGCGUCCCAUUAGCUAGUUGGUGGGGUAACGGCCCACCAAGGCGACGAUGGGUAGCCGGUCUGAGAGGAUGACCGGCCACACUGGGACUGGAACACGGCCCAGACUCCUACGGGAGGCAGCAGUGGGGAAUAUUGCGCAAUGGGCGAAAGCCUGACGCAGCGACGCCGCGUGAGGGGAAUGAAGGUCCUCGGAUCGUAAACCUCUGUCAGGAGGGAAGAACCGCCACGGUGCUAAUCAGCCGUGGUCUGACGGUACCUCCAAAGGAAGCACCGGCUAACUCCGUGCCAGCCGCGGC